UACGUAGGUGGCAAGCGUUGUCCGGAAUUAUUGGGCGUAAAGCGCGCGCAGGCGGUCCUUUAAGUCUGAUGUGAAAGCCCACGGCUCAACCGUGGAGGGUCAUUGGAAACUGGGGGACUUGAGUACAGAAGAGAAGAGUGGAAUUCCACGUGUAGCGGUGAAAUGCGUAGAUAUCGGAAGGAACAUCAGUGGCGAAAGCGACUUCCUGGACCAAUACUGACGCUCAUGUGCGAAAGCGUGGGGAGCAAACAGG
rnacentral:rRNA from 1 species